GCGUGCAGAAGAGGCCUUCGGGUUGUAACUGCUUUUGUACGGAACGAAACGGUCUGGGUUAAUACCCUGGGCUAAUGACGGUACCGUAAGAAUAAGCACCGGCUAACUACGUGCCAGCAGCCGCGGUAAUACGUAGGGUGCAAGCGUUAAUCGGAAUUACUGGGCGUAAAGCGUGCGCAGGCGGUUUUGUAAGACAGUCGUGAAAUCCCCGGGCUCAACCUGGGAAUUGCGAUUGUGACUGCAAAGCUGGAGUGCGGCAGAGGGGGAUGGAAUUCCGCGUGUAGCAGUGAAAUGCGUAGAUAUGCGGAGGAACACCGAUGGCGAAGGCAAUCCCCUGGGCCUGCACUGACGCUCAUGCACGAAAGCGUGGGGAGCAAACAGGAUUAGAUACUNNH
rnacentral:rRNA from 1 species